rnacentral:rRNA from 1 species
GACGAACGCUGGCGGCGUGCCUAAUACAUGCAAGUCGAGCGAACAGACCAGGAGUUUGCUCCUCUGACGUUUGCGGCGGACGUGUGAGUAACACGUGUAUACCCUACUUAUAAGACUGGUAUCACUACGGGACACCGGAUCUAAUACCGGAUAAUAUCUUGAACCGUAUUGUUCAAUAGUGAAAUUCGGCUUUUCUGUCAGUACUAGCUGGAUCCCCGCCGCUUUAGCUAGUUGGUAAGGUAACGGCCUACCAAGGCGACGAUGCGUAGCCGACCUGAGAGAGGGAUCGGCCACACUGGAACUGAGACACGGUCCAUACUCCUACGAGACGCAGCAGUCGGCAAUCUGAGGCAAUGGGCGAGAGCAUGACAGAACAACGCCGAGUGUGUGAUGGAGGUGUUGGGAUCGUAAAGAUCUGUUAUUAGGGAAGAACCGAUGUGUAAGGAACUGUGCCCGUCUUGACGGUAACUGAUAAGAAAGCAACGGCUAACUACGUG